AUUGAACGCUGGCGGCAGGCCUAACACAUGCAAGUCGAACGGUAACAGAAAGCAGCUUGCUGCUUUGCUGACGAGUGGCGGACGGGUGAGUAAUGUCUGGGAAACUGCCUGAUGGAGGGGGAUAACUACUGGAAACGGUAGCUAAUACCGCAUAACGUCGCAAGACCAAAGAGGGGGUCCUUCGGGCCUCUUGCCAUCGGAUGUGCCCAGAUGGGAUUAGCUAGUAGGUGGGGUAAAGGCUCACCUAGGCGACGAUCCCUAGCUGGUCUGAGAGGAUGACCAGCCACACUGGAACUGAGACACGGUCCAGACUCCUACGGGAGGCAGCAGUGGGGAAUAUUGCACAAUGGGCGCAAGCCUGAUGCAGCCAUGCCGCGUGUAUGAAGAAGGCCUUCGGGUUGUAAAGUACUUUCAGCGGGGAGGAAGGGAGUAAAGUUAAUACCUUUGCUCAUUGACGUUACCCGCAGAAGAAGCACCGGCUAACUCCGUG
rnacentral:rRNA from 1 species